rnacentral:lncRNA from 1 species
ACACACACACACACACACACACACACACACAUACACACAAAGAUCAAGGGGAUGAAAAUUGCAAAGAAGAAGGAAAUGUAUCACUAUUGGCAGAUGAUAUGAUAGUAUACAUAAGUGACCUCAAAAAUUCUUCCAGAGAAUUUCUAUAGCUAAUAAGCAACUUCAGUAAAGUGGCUGGAUAUAAAAGUAAGUCAAAUAAAUCAGUAGCCUUCCUGUAUACAAAUGAUAAACAAGCUGAAAAAGAUAUAAGGGCAACAACUCCCUUUACAAUAGCCUCAAAUAAUAUAAAAUAUCUUGGGCAAAAUUCUAACCAAACAAUUGAAAGUCCUGCAUGACAAUAACUUUAAGUCUCUGAAGAAAGAAAACGAAGAAGGUCUUAGAAAAUUGAGAGAUCUCUCAUGCUCAUGGACUGGCAGAAUUAACAUAGUAAAAAUGGCCACACUACCAAAGGCGAUCUACAGAUUCAAUGCAAUCCCCAUCAAAAUCACAACAGAAUUAUCCAAAGACAUACAGAGAGCAUUUGUUAAAUUAACCUGGAAAGAGAAAAAAACCCAGGAUAGG